rnacentral:rRNA from 1 species
GACGGAGGGGGCUAGCGUUGUUCGGAAUGACUGGGCGUAAAGGGCGCGUAGGCGGUCUUUCAAGUGAGGCGUGAAAGCCCUGGGCUUAACCUAGGAGGUGCGUUUCAAACGGGAAGACUAGAGGAUGAGAGAGGAAAGAGGAAUUCCUAGUGUAGAGGUGAAAUUCGUAGAUAUUAGGAAGAACACCAGUGGCGAAGGCGACUUUCUGGCUCAUCCCUGACGCUGAGGCGCGAAAGCGUGGGGAGCAAACAGG